GAUGAACGCUAGCGGCAGGCCUAACACAUGCAAGUCGAGGGGUAGAGGAAGCUUGCUUCCUUGAGACCGGCGCACGGGUGCGUAACGCGUAUGCAAUCUGCCUUGUACUGAGGGAUAGCCCAGAGAAAUUUGGAUUAAUACCUCAUAGCAUUAUGAAAUCGCAUGGUUUUAUAAUUAAAGUUCCAACGGUACAAGAUGAGCAUGCGUGCCCAUUAGUUAGUUGGUAAGGUAACGGCUUACCAAGACGAUGAUGGGUAGGGGUCCUGAGAGGGAGUCCCCCCGCACGGGUACUGAGACACGGACCAGGAUCCGACGGGAGGCAGCGGUGAGGAAUAUUGCUCAAUGGGCGCAAGUCUGACCCACCCCUGCCGCGUGCAGCAUGAGGCCUCCAUGGUGUGUAAACUGCUUUUGUACAGGAAGAAACACUCCUACGUGUAGGAGCUUGACGGUACCGUAAGCAUAAGGAUCGGCUAACUCCGUGCCAGCCGCCGCGGUAACAC
rnacentral:rRNA from 1 species